ACUCCUACGGGAGGCAGCAGUGGGGAAUCUUGCGCAGUGGGAGCAAUCCUGACGCAGCGACGCCGCGUGCGGGAUGACGCCUUUCGGGGUGUAAACCGCUGUCACCGGGGACGAAUCCUACUGGGAGGCAAUGCCCAUGUAGUUGACGGUACCCGGAGAGGAAGCACCGGCUAACUCCGUGCCAGCAGCCGCGGUAAUACGGAGGGUGCGAGCGUUGUUCGGAAUUAUUGGGCGUAAAGCGCGCGUAGGCGGUUCUUU
rnacentral:rRNA from 1 species